rnacentral:rRNA from 1 species
AGAGUUUGAUCCUGGCUCAGAACGUACGCUGGCGGCACGCCUAACACAUGCAAGUCGAACGAAGUAGCAAUACUUAGUGGCAGACGGGUGAGUAACAUGUGGGUAUCUACCCUUUGGCCUGGAAUAACACGAGGAAACUUGUGCUAAUACUGGAUAAGUCUUUACGGAGAAAGCUUUAUGCACCAUUGGAUGAGCCUGCACUUGAUUAGUUUGUUGGUGGGGUAAUGGCCUACCAAGACUGUGAUCAAUAGCUGAUUUGAGAGGAUGAUCAGCCACAUUGGGACUGAGACACGGCCCAAACUCCUACGGGAGGCAGCAGUGGGGAAUCUUGCACAAUGGAGGAAACUCUGAUGCAGCGAUGCCGCGUGAGUGAAGAAGGCCCUUGGGUUGUAAAGCUCUUUCGUCGGGGAAGAAAAUGACUGUACCCGAAUAAGAAGGUCCGGCUAACUUCGUGCCAGCCGCCGCGGU